UACAGAGGGGGGCAAGCGUUGUUCGGAAUUACUGGGCGUAAAGGGCGCGUAGGCGGCCUUCUAAGUCGAACGUGAAAUCCCUGGGCUCAACCCAGGAACUGCGUCCGAUACUGGAAGGCUUGAAUCCGGGAGAGGGAUGCGGAAUUCCUGGUGUAGCGGUGAAAUGCGCAGAUAUCAGGAGGAACACCGAUGGCGAAGGCAGGUCUCUGGGCAUUAACUGACGCUGAGGAGCGAAAGCAUGGGGGAGCGAACAGG
rnacentral:rRNA from 1 species